UCGGAUUGUAGUCUGCAACCCGACUACAUGAAGCUGGAAUCGCUAGUAAUCGCGAAUCAGCAUGUCGCGGUGAAUACGUUCCCGGGUCUUGUACACACCGCCCGUCACACCAUGGGAGUUGGUAACGCCCGAAGCCAGUGACCCAACCGGAAACGGAGGGAGCUGUCGAAGGUGGGACCGAUAACUGGGGUGAAGUCGUAACAAGGUACC
rnacentral:rRNA from 1 species